rnacentral:lncRNA from 1 species
AAAAGAAACAGUUCUUUUUUUACCUUCAGCUUUACUGAAGUUAUAGUAUUGCCAAUUUGUUCCUCAACUCCCCACCCCGGGAGGGUGAUUAAUGGCCCGGGAGCACAAGGGGCUGUAAAUCCUCUCAGCGACAGGAGAUACCUUUAGCCUGAUUUCUUGGAGAUGUUUUGUCACAAUUUCAGAAUUUCCAGGAAUCAGAGACCCCCCCUGGGUGAGCCACAAAGGCUCAAAGAAUAGCAGAAACCUGAGGAAAGGGUGGAGAUUAAAAAUGCAGCCAGCACAGAGCUUGAGCAGAGAGAAAAUUAUAAUUUGCUUUGAGCAGAGCAAUAAAUCUCCAGGGCAAUGAUGGCCCUCCCCUGGCAUUGGUAAAUUGUCCAGUUUCCCCCUCUGAUCCUGGAGGAGUUUCCCGGUGCUCUGACACUGCUCAGGCUGGGCCAUCAGUACCUGGAUGACUGAGGAACUUCUGAGCUGAGGUGAUUAGCGGCUGUGCUAAUUAGGAGCUGUGCAGGGAGCAGAGCAGUGAGAUCCUGAAGCCAAGCACACAAAUCCUCUCAGGGCUCAGCCAUCCUGCAAGAGCCCAUCCCAGCAAGGGAGCAGGAGGGGAUGCAGAGGGACUCAAUUAAUGAGACUCCAUCCGUAACCCGCCUGCUUCGGGCUGGGCUUUACAGCAAAUAUUGAUCCCUGCCUGCAGAACUUAAAACAGGAGAGGAAAAGCCAAGGAGAGCUGGCACUUGACCCCCCAGGAGCUUUCUGGGCUUUUCUUCUCUCUGCAUAGCGCAAUAAAGUGAAUGUUUUCCUUUGGAGAGGAAACAGACAGCCCUGGAGCUAUUUCAUUUCCCUGCUCUGUGUCUGUUGCCAUGACUGUUCUCCCAGAUCACUGUUUCCAGAGUACACACUUCACCAAUAUAAUUUAAAAGACAGUAUUUUGUUCACUGCCUCGAGUAGGAAGAACUUUCCCUUAAAAACAUUUCCAAUUCACUUGUUCAGAUGGAGGGUCAGAGGAGCAGAAUAUGAUGAGACCAAAAGAAAAAAAAUAUCUGAAUAUUUGCACCCUCAGAAAGAAACAUCAGAACCACUUGCAGAUGUUGCUGCACCAUAAAUCACUUUGAAAGGAACUUUACUGAGGAAAUUAUGACCGGUCCCAACAGGGAAAAGCAGAGAUUCUCUGUGUAAAUAUUUGUCUUUCCACUUAUUGCUCCAGCCUGAUUUUUCUGUGAUUUAUGGGUUCUGUUCAUACGAUUUCUGAGCAUUUAAUGGAUGAGAUUCCGUGUGUCCUGCACUGGGUAUUCCCUAAUCAGCUGUAACAGUGGGAACAGAGUAAAAACUGCAUCAGCCCCAGCAGAGUGAAACAGCCUUUUCCUCAUCAAACUGCUGCUGGCAAGGGGAGGGAUUUUUAACUCUGCUUUUUACUUAAAGUGCAGCUGGAAGCAGA